GCCGAGCUCAGUUGCGCGAGCUUGUAACCCGAGUGGGGGCUUUAAGGUGGUGUGGACGCUGUUGCGGUGCUGUGGGCCUGGUCCGGUUGUGCUACUGCUGGCCCGCCCGUUCCAAGUUGAGUAGUGGACCGGCUGGGGCCUGUGCGAAGGCUGGGCCUCACGGUCCAUGAUGUGGCAGGCAAAGCGUGAGGCUGGUUUCACAGAGCAGCGAACUGCCCGCUCCAACGG
rnacentral:SRP_RNA from 1 species